CGGCCGCGGUAUUUUGACCGUGCAAAGGUAGCGUAAUCACCUGUCUUUUAAAUAAAGACCUGUAUGAAUGGCAAGACGAGGGUUUUACUGUCUCCUCCCCCCAGUCAAUGAAAUUGAUCUACCCGUGCAGAAGCGGGUAUAAAAACAUAAGACGAGAAGACCCUAUGGAGCUUUAGGCAUAUAUCAAAUAUGUAAAAAACCAAAUUUUUCCAAAUAGGCCUAAAAAAUGAGAAAAACAAGUAUUAAUGAUUAAGUGCCUUCGGUUGGGGCGACCACGGGGAAAAAUAAAACCCCCACAUGGAAUGGGAAAAAUAACCCUAAGCCAAGAAAAACACUUCUAAGCAACAAAAUUUUUGACCAAUAAACGACCCAGGGACACCAUCCCUGAGCAAUGAACCAAGUUACCCUAGGGAUAACAGCGCAAUCCUUUCCCAGAGCCCAUAUCAACGAAAGGGUUUACGACCUCGAUGUUGGAUCAGGGCAUCCUAACGGUGCAGCCGCUGUAAGGGUUCGUUUGUUCAACGAUUAAU
rnacentral:rRNA from 1 species